GAAAGAAGAGGGGAGAAUUUGUGCUACCAGGUUGUGUCAUGGCUGUUACUAAAUGUCUUAGAGUCACUCAUGACCUCUUCAUAUGAAAAUAAUAAUCAUAUAUAUGAUGAUAUAUAUAAGGUAUUUGGGCUAAAUAAAGACUCUGAUAAGCCCCCACCAUUCCCCUGAUGCCCUCUGUAUGCCCUGGGCAGAAGAAUUUCCUCUCUCAGAAGGUUUCACACAUUGUGUUUGCAGUAUCAGAAGACAAAAGAUGUGCUUUGGUGUUUACAACAGCUUCUGUGAUUUGUAUGGGCCCAAGAGAUAAAGAACAUGAAGCCCAUUCACACCUUGGAAGCUUGGAAUUGUACUGAAUGUAGAUCACCUGAAGAAGAUGGAUACUAGAACCCAGGAGAACAAAGAUCAGUUCUGGACUGAAUGUUUAUAUCUCCUGCAAAAUUCAUAUGUUGAAGCCCUAAUUUUC
rnacentral:lncRNA from 1 species